CUGUAAGUUGACCGACACUAGGUCAGGCCUCCAGCGAAAGACAAUUUUGUUAAGAACGGUUAUCACUAUAUCAAGUAACACAGUAUUAUAAAGUAUGCAUUGAGCAUAUGUUCGAGCCAAGCAUGAUGCUAAAUGUUCUACAUGUAUUUCUUUAUUUGUUAUUCAUUAUUUGGAGUAACAUAGGUAAUGGGAAAAGAAUUUUAUUUGAGUUACUACAUAUAAUGCGCUGAAGAUAGAAGUGCCUAAAAUAUAGUAAUUGCUCAAUAAAUGUUAUUAUUGUUUUUAUAUUUUAGUUCAAACAACCAUCCUGUGAGUACAGUUCAUUUUUUUUUUUUUUCAGUUCACAGAUGUAAAAACUAAGGAUUAAGGAGGUUAAGGACUUUCCUGUGAUUCCCCAGGUAAUAAGUGACAAAUUAGAAUUUCAGCCCAGUUCUGUUUGAUUCCAGAGGCCAAAUUGUUAACCAUUAUGUUGUAUUCUCUACUAUAGUUAGAGAUCUAAGAAGCUCACCAAAUAAAUCGAUGACAACUCUGGAUUAUUUUUGAGCUAGGUUCAUAGAACUAAAGCCUUAGAGGCCUUAUCAAGGCACACCUGUUUUUUGUUCUCUAGCCAUUCAGUUAGUCAUAAAAAAAGUCAAGGCCAAGAAAAACAACAGAGGAUCUUUGGAAGGAGACAGAAACCAAUUGAAACAAGGCUCCAUUCUGGAGAUUUUCUAUGCUCCCAAAUCCCUCCAUCACAAAGGUCAUGAUCUCGAAGUUUGCAGAAUCUAACCACUGCUAGGAAUGAAGCCUGCUUGGGAUUCUCUCCCCCUCACUCUCUGUCCCCCCCACCCCACCCCC